AGGGUGAGAGCGGGGAGAGCCAGGGCCCUAGGUCUGGCUGGUCCACGCAGCUGCAGGGUGCCCAGCAGCGAGGCCUACUGCGGAGCUGGGUCUCGGCCUUGGGCUGCCAGCUGGAAGCUGCCAGUCCCUGGGAGAGACGAGAAUAAGGUCUGGGCAAGCAGCCCUCCAGGCAAUGUGACCACCAGGCCACCUUGAGGCUUGAUGGCUUCAACCUAGCCUGGCUCACCUCUCCUCCUGUCCCCUCCCAGGUCCUGUCCUUUCUCCACUCCUGCUCUGUCCACCCCCUGCAGGCUCCAAGGUGCAGGAGAGAGGAGAAGCAACAGUUACAAGGCACUGCUCCCAGGGAAAUUAACCUGCGGAGGAGGGGCGUGGAGGCCGUGGGCUGGGUCACCUGGCCACUGAAGGCAUGGAGGUGCACCGGGUGUGGGUAGACUCUGGAGGCAGGUGGGGAGGCUCAGCAGUCCUCUAUGAGACUCAAGGAGGGUGGGAAAGCCACUUCUCCCUUGGGGUGACUCACGUCCCCUCCCUCAUUCUCCCCCCAUCGGAGAAGUCUUCAUCAGGUUAUCUGGCUAGGCACACAUCUGCUAAGGGCCCUCCCUGGGUCUCAAGAGAAUUAACCCCCACAGUCUGCCUGCCCCUAGGAAAAUGGUGCUGGUGAGGUUUGGGGGAACACCUUGUUGACACAUGUUUAGGAUUUGGGGAAAAAAUUUCCUGCAAAUUGGGAACCCUAAUCAUCACCAGCCAGGGUCUGUCCAAUUAUUUUGGGUCCCCAGAAGGCGGAGUGGGUGGAGGGAGGGCCCAGGGCUGGUUUGCUUCCUGCAAAGGUUAAUUUCUCCACCUGUCCCAUGAAAACCAAUUAAGCCUUCUCCUGAAAAAUAUCUUCUAAUUUCUUGGGAAUCUUUGCCUCUGAUUGCCUUAGCAUUAAAUGAGCCCGAGAUGCUGGACUUCUGUGGUGUUCUUUCCCGCGACACAGCCCCAAAUUCAUGGCUGCAACAUAAACUCUAAAAGCAGCAGGUCAUCAUCUCCAGGCAAACCUAGUCAGCGUGUGGGCAGCAACCUGCACACAGCCGGCCUCCAGGCUGCGAGGUCAGGGAGUUGGAGGAAGAAGGUGGAUUCCUGAGUUAUUGGCCUGGAGGUGGGUGGCUGGCUGGCCGCAGCUGGAGGAGGAAGAGGCAAAAGAGAAAGGAAUGAGGAGAGAAAUAAUCGGAAGAGUAUCAGGCCACCCAAAGCCGACCCAAACAUAAAAAUAAUUCCAGAAAAGAGCACCCCUUGAGAGUGGGCACCAUCCCAAGGGCCAGCGAGGAGGGUUGGGGAAUCUGAACAGAAGCUGCAGAAACUUGGUUUACUCUUGGGAGGAGCAAGUUCUAAAUCUUACAAACACAGCAACCGCAACAAGCUGUUUCAGGAAGCUUCUGAAACACGCUCGAGGCCCAGCGCCGGCCUCCUGCCGCAUCUGGGACACGGCCUGGCGGUGCUUUCUGGGCGCGUGGGCAUUUCCACGUCUCUGCUCCGGGGUCGGAGAUGCCAGCCCUGCCUGCGGCCGGCGGCCCCGCCCCAGCGAGCCACGCGCUCCGCUCUCCCCCAGGACCGCCGCCCUCCAGGUCGGCUUCUCUGCGCGCGAUCAGACGAACCGUCGCCGGACAUUGCUUCUCCGCGACACACAGUGAGGCCGAGGUCCGGAACCGACCCCUUCUACUCUCGCCGGGUCCAGAAGAGGGUCCUCAAACCACCCGCUUACGGAGAACCAUCCUCCACCCUCCCGGGCUCGCUGCACAAAGAGGGGCCUCGGCGACAUCGAGAGGAAAGACGGCUUCCGGACUCGGUGGACUUGGAAGCGACGCGAGCCUUUCAGACCAGCUCUCGCCCGCUGCGGGGCAGAAGCGCUCCCGGAGACGCUGGGCGCCCGGCCUGCGGACCCGGCCUCCCGUUUCUCCUUAAAACGAGGCCGGAGGAGGAUGACUCUCCCUGCAGCUCCGCUGUCCCCUCACUUCCCACACUUCUCUAGAUACAAGUUCAGCUGCUCCUCGUGCAAAGCAGCCACGGAAAGCUCAGCCUUGAGAAUAGAAUGUGAAAGCAGGUCUCGAUCGGUUGAAACCUCGUUCCGGAGGCAUUCUUCGCAGUCCGCGGCCAGAAUGGAUUUCGGAUGUAGAUCCGCAAAGCGGCGAGCUUCUGCCAGCCUCCGCGACUGGGCCGAACGCAGGCUUAUAGCCUUUCUGCCCAGGCGGGAAUCUCCUUUCCGCAGUGGAAACAACUCCUGGAAAACACAAAAUCGAGCGAGAAGAAAGCAGCGAUGCCCGCCCGCGCCGGGGCGCUGGGAGAGCUCCCUCUCCGGGAAGCGAAGCGCGUCGCACGCCCAGGCUCACGGCGGGGUGGGGUGGGGGCAGGAUGGGCCUUGCUCGGGUCGGGGUUGGGGGGACAUGAGCAUUCCCGGGCGCCCACCGCAGUCCAGGCUGCUCCGCGGGGCGCUCACUGCAUCACCCAGAAAUGGCCCAGAGGUGUCUCCGGAGAGCACGGAGCACCGGGUUUCUCCGCCCAGGGGGCCGUAGUCUCCAUGUCAGAGGCGGGGGGAGAGAGCCCCACAGUGGAUUUUUCCCUUCUUGCGCCCGCCUGGCCGAAUGCGCACGCGGGGCGGUGGGGGAGGGGGCCUGUGUGCGGUGGGGGGAGGAGGUAGGGGCGCCGGCCUUUGCUCGCUGGGGUGUGACCCGGUCUCUUCCUUCCAGAAUUGUCAGCCUCUGUCGGGGGCGCGGCUCCUCUACCCCUCUCCCAACUCCCCUCCCCACCUCGUCGUGACAGCAGGUUCGGUGAGGGGAUCCCUCGCUGUGAGACCCCCAGGAGGCCCUAGGCAGGUUUCCUCCGAGGGUUUCCCUCUCCCUUGCUCAUCUGAGUAAGCAGCGAACUCCUGGGCAAGCGUGGUUUGAGGGGUGAUUUCUAGUGACCGGCCGGGUGCCCCACCACGUCCCAGGAGGGAGGGAGGGGGCGCUGUGCGUCGGCGCCGGCCCUGCCCCAGGAGGCAGGGAGGGUCUACACUCUUGCCCUCUGGCUCAGAGCAGACCCCUGGGGAUACUCCCGGGCCGCGCUCCUGCUUUCCGGCGAGGAGCGGACUCCGAACCAGUGGAGACUCUUGUCUCGACAACGAGGGCUCAGGAGUCAGAGCCCGGGUCAGUGAGGCAGACUUCAUGGCUGCGAACUCUUCCUCCGAGGUGAAAGCCUGUCCCCCCAGUUCCCGGGGCACCCUCGAGGAGGCGAAGUGCGCGGAGCGGGGCCCCCGCCGCAGCGUCCAGCACCCCUGGAGCGCGGGCCCCAGGGCUCGGGCGUGGCGAGGGCCGGCUCCGGGCGCGGAUUUGUGAAUGAACCGCUGAGCUCUUUGCAGCUCACAGAUCAGAGGGCUGCGAUCGCCCCACCGACGUGGUCCAAUGAGCCGCUGCAAUAAGCGCUUAGCGACAAAGCAGGGGCCCGGCCCGGCCUGGCGGUUCCGCGCUGCGCCGGGCGGGGACGCGGGAGGGGGCCGAGCCAAGGCAGUGACUUCAAAGCCGCUCGUCCAGACACAGUGAAAGGGUGGCACUCCCAGGGUGGCAAGGUCUGAAACCGCAUUCCCCCACCCCCACCCCACCAGAACGCCCACAGGCGGUCCUAACCGAGUGACCCUGAGCUUCCGGCCGCCUCCGACCCUCCCCGAGCGCGUCCUGCAUGUCCCAAGGACCCCGGACGAUCACCUCGCCCUAGCCCCGUGACGUCCCCGCGUGGGUCUCCACGGCCGCGCGGGUCUAGCCAGACUUGCUUCCCUAAGCACCGUGCUGUUCAAAAACUCCCCCACUGUCCCCUCCCCCACUUUAAAAUUAAAGUCUUUUCGCUGCUUC